AUGCAACAGGCUAGGCGGUGUAUACAGGCUGGUGCAUUGCACUGGGUGAAGGGUGCAAAUCAUGUUCCUGAGAGCAUCCAAAACAUAUGGGAGGUGCUGCCUGGAGCUGUGGGAGGACCGCGUCAUGAGACCUCGGUGACUGUGGACAUGUUCAGGUCCAGGGAAGGUGCUAAUGGAGAGUUGGAGGAUAUAGAUAUUAAGGAGAGGCACUCCAAGAGAUCAUGUCCGGGGCGCGGUGCAAGGAUAGCCGCCGCUUCAUCCGAGGAUGCGCCUGCUGACGGAUGUUGCGUCGAGUCCAUGACGGACCUCUUUGUGCAAGGCAUCACCUCCCCCCUUCAUCUCUUCUCUAUUCAGCCCAGUCGGAGUGAGCAUGCACGUGCAUUCCUACAUACUGAAAUGGUCGUGCCCGUGCGUCUCCAAGCUCGGAACACACUGCACCCAGGUGAUGGGAAGUCCGGAGCAACUAUCGAUGCAGGAGAUGAUCAGCUGUUCUGCACUGGAUUAGGGAGAUUAGUGUUUACCAGUGAGAGGGCUAUAAGGAGGGCCAGGGUGUUGGUCAGGGAGGAGUUUGGGAUGACCAGUAACCGUUUGACGACAUGCCUGAUGCAAAGGGAGAAUCGAGAGAAAUGGACCCUCCAUUUAGAUAUACGACUUGCUUUCGCCCUUUUCUCUGCAGAGUCAAGAUUGAAUGUUGCAACAAUAGCCAGAAACUGUUCAGGCAGAGUGUGUAUAGUACCAUGGCCUAGUGUUCCAAACUGGAUGAGGAAAAGUGGUCUUGUUGGGCAAUGCUUCAAUGCACAAGGCAUGAGCUAUUUUAGGAGUUCAGAAAGUUGCUCUGAAUUAGAGGAUUAUGCCAAUGGAGAUGAUGGAUCCACUCCUAUAGUUGAUCAGAUUAGCAAGUACGAGUUGAGGAGGGAUAGUUCGACUGGAGGGCUGUUGGAAUCUCCAUGUGUUCUAUACCUCGCGAUUGUUAGACUAUUCUACAAAGGUUUGAAGCUAAUCUUGUUGGGGGAUGUGAGAGAUUUUCUACACAAAAGGGGACCUAAAGCUGUUGAACCGAUCACUACUACAAGGCUCAUACAGAAUUCUUUUAGUCGGGGAUUAUCUUGGAUUGAGAGCUGCCGCACUGAGCCCCCGCCAUCUACAAUAUGGCAUUCAGAUGGUGAUCUGAAACUUAAAAUGGAGCAAAUGGCCAUGGGCUCUAAUAAAUAUGAGGUUUUCUAUCUCAAGAUACCUCAGCUGCAGCGAAAGACAAUGGAGCCAUGGGUGUCGGGGCGGGCACUGGUGGUCGGCGGAAGGCGUUGUGGAGGUGCUCGCUACUACCCAGCUUCACUUGGACGCCACCAGGUUCAGCCUUGGCAUGGACCUGUGCGCCGCUGCCUUUGUAGCUGCUCCCAGCUGCUGAGUAGCCGCCGUCCAGGAAGAGUGAUUAUUGUGGCCGGUGCUACUGAGGAUUAUGUGUUCCCACUUGCCACCCAGGAUCAUGUGUUUGCCACCCAUUAUAGGGCGCCCAUGUCGCUGCAACACCGUCGUCUCUGUCAUAUUUUUGUACUGUUUGAAUAUCCGGUCAAUGUCUGGUGUAUAGUAAACGCUCAUUGCAACACCUCCUACCCUUUGAUGGCGGUGGUGGAUUGGCACCUGUGGAUUAGGGUGGUUAGCGGGGGACUCCUUAGAAGGUCUAUGGGGAAGUAUGGUGUGAAGAAGAGAGGGCACAAUGGUGAAGGUGAGCUGGGUGUCAUCCGUGGACUCCUAGUAUCCAUCAGUUUCAUGAUGGACCAAGGAGAACCAGGCAAAGAUCUACCGAUAUUGGAGCAGACGCGGGAGGCUGAUCCCCACGAGACAGAGAGCUCCAAGAAGAUGGAGGCAACCACCCAGGAGACCCUAGAUACUGAGAUGGUCAACGCCCCGUUUGAGGUUACAACCCCCGUGGCACUUCAGGAGCAGUUUUCCCCCUUCGGGGAUGUGUCCCCCCCGCUGAGCUGGCCAAGAAAGGGAACCGUGCCAGCUAGUCCUUGGUCCAUGGAUGAACUGGUAGAAAGUGCAUUCCGGACUAGGAUGCAGUUGUUUUCGCUCGUCCCUGCACUGCAAUCAGGAAGUAAAACUUUUGAAAUUGGAUUUACCACUCCAUCUUCGGUUCUCCCGCCCAAACAAGCAUUGGCUCAAAAUCCACCGUUCAUUUCCCCUCUCAUGCAUAUCACUGCCAUCCAUCAAAGAAAGGAUGACAUGAUCUGA
rnacentral:rRNA from 1 species